rnacentral:tRNA from 1 species
CUUCUCGUAGCUCAAUGGAUAGAGCGCAGGCCUCCGGAGCCUGAAAUAUAGGUUCGAUUCCUAUCGAGAAGACCA